rnacentral:rRNA from 1 species
GCGCAGCAGUCGCGCAAACUUUGCAAUACACGAAAGUGUGACAGGGCUAUCCCGAGUGCCGUCCGCUGAGGGUGGCUUUUACCCAGUCUAUAAAGCUGGGAGAAUAAGGAGAGGGCAAGUCUGGUGUCAGCCGCCGCGGUAAUACCAGCUCUCCGAGUGGUGUGGAUGUUUAUUGGGCCUGAAGCAUCCGUAGCCGGCUGGACAAGUCCUCCGUUAAAUCCAGCGAUUCAAUCGUUGGAUUGCGAGGGAUACUGUUCGGCUAGGGGGUGAGAGAGGCCAACGGUAUUCCCGGGGUAGGGGUGAAAUCCUAUAAUCCCGGGAGGACCACCAGUGGCGAAGGCUGUUGGCUAGAACACGCCCGACGGUGAGGGAUGAAAGCUGGGGGAGCGAACCGGAUUAGAUACCCGGGUAGUCC